rnacentral:rRNA from 1 species
CCUACGGGAGGCAGCAGUGAGGAAUAUUGGUCAAUGGGCGGAAGCCUGAACCAGCCAAGUCGCGUGAGGGAAUAAGGCCCUACGGGUCGUAAACCUCUUUUGCCGGGGAGCAAGGGCGGGGACGUGUCCCGGCCCGGAGAGUACCCGGAGAAAAGGCAUGGGCCAACUCCGUGCCAGCAGCGGCGGUAUUACGGAGGAUGGGAGGGUUAUCCGGAUUUAUUGGGUUAAAGGGGUGCGUGGGCGGGCUUUUAAGUCAGCGGUAAAAAGUCGGGGGUAAACCCCGUCCGGCCGUUGAAACUGGGGGCCUUGAGUGGGCGGGAAGAAGGCGGAAUGCGUGGUGUAGCGGUGAAAUGCAUAGAUAUCACGCAGAACCCCGAUUGCGAAGGCAGCCUUCCGGCGCCCUACUGACGCUGAGGCACGAAGGUGCGGGGAUCGAACAGGAUUAGAUACCCCUGUAGUC